UACGAAGGGGGCUAGCGUUGUUCGGAAUUACUGGGCGUAAAGGGCUCGUAGGCGGCCAACUAAGUCCGACGUGAAAUCCCCAGGCUUAACCUGGGAACUGCGUCGGAUACUGGAUGGCUUGAAUUCGGGAGAGGGAUGCAGAAUUCCAGGUGUAGCGGUGAAAUGCGUAGAUAUCUGGAGGAAUACCGGUGGCGAAGGCACUCUACUGGGCUAUUACUGACACUCAGAGACGAAAGCUAGGGGAGCAAAUGGG
rnacentral:rRNA from 1 species